rnacentral:rRNA from 1 species
AUUGAACGCUGGCGGCAUGCCUUACACAUGCAAGUCGAACGGCAGCACGGGUGCUUGCACCUGGUGGCGAGUGGCCAACGGGUGAGUAAUACAUCGGGACGUACCUUAUCGUGGGGGAUAACGCAGCGAAAGCUGUGCUAAUACCGCAUACGCCCUGAGGGGGAAAGCGGGGGAUCGCAAGACCUCGCGCGAUUAGAGCGGCCGAUGCCUGAUUAGCUUGUUGGUGGGGUAAAAGCCCACCAAGGCGACGAUCAGUAGCUGGUCUGAGAGGACGAUCAGCCACACUGGGACUGAGACACGGCCCAGACUCCUACGGGAGGCAGCAGUGGGGAAUUUUGGACAAUGGGGGCAACCCUGAUCCAGCAAUGCCGCGUGAGUGAAGAAGGCCUUCGGGUUGUAAAGCUCUUUUGUCAGGGAAGAAACACCGGCUCUAACACAGUCCGGGAAUGACGGUACCUGAAGAAUAAGCACCGGCUAACUACGUGCCAGCCGCCGCCGUAA